ensembl:lncRNA
CAGGGCGCCCGGCCGGGCGCCCUGACGGGGCGAGGGAGGCCGCGCCGGCGCCCGCCACCGCCUCAGGGCCGGGGCCGACGGCCCUCGCCCCUGAGGGGGAACUCGCCUGGCAGCGGGGGAGGGAAGGGCCGGGGCGCGGCCGGUCUGAGGGGCGUAGAUUAGGGCGGCAGUGGGGGCUUAGCAGCUGCUCUCCUCCUCACCCCCGGCGCUCGGAGAAGCUCCCUCCCAACCUCUUGGUAUUAUAUCCGUUAUUAAGGUACCUGUAAGCCCACAGGGCGUCUUCUCAGUAACAAGAGGUGUCCCCGGCCCUCGCCGGCCUCCGGUGUUGUACCGGAGUAACGGAGACAAGCUUUUGCUUGUCUUUCCCGUUUUUCAGGCCCUUGCCUUGGAGUGUCGCAGCGUUGCAACAUGCAGGGUUUGGUUUAGUACGUUUUAGCCGCGCAGAGCGUUUCUGUUCUUUUUAAUUAAUUGGCAGGCAUUGUGUUUGAGCCACUCAGUAUGGUUAUUUUUUAAAAAAAUAACGCGUUUAGGAGGCAGCCUACGUCUUGAGCAGAAGGUGUUUUAAAACCAGAUUUUAAGUCUUCUGCUGCAUGGUCUGAACGCUUCCCUUGUACGUAUGCUAUCCUAGGGGUUAAUCCAGGUUCUGCUUUUUCAAAACACUGUAUUCAGAAAGUAUUAGAUUUUGUAAUUAGCCUGCAAAGAUCCUAAAUAACCAAAACCACAAGGGAUUCACUCACUAUAUGCCUAGCUCAUUUAACACUAAGCUUGAUUACACCAGACUACAAAGACAGCGCAAAGAAGGAACACUGGUACCUGGCAAGAAAGGAGACUUCCUAUCUUUCCCACCAAUGCAGCCCGUGCCAGCCAUGCUGUACAUCUGUUGCAAAAGAAAGCAGACAGGCACAUUGUGUGGUUUAAACAAAGCUGAGGAUCUUGGCAGACAAUCACUGAAGUAAGCUCCCUCUGGAACACUAUGCCUCAAAGCGAU